CCCGCACUGCCAGGGCUCUGGAGAGCCUGAGAUGGGGGCCGGAGUGGCUGCUGGGUCCUCAUCUUCUUUAAUAACCACAUUUUGUAAAGCCCCUGCUCUGUACCAGACCUAACACCAGGCUUUGGGGUCACAGUGAUGAAUAUAACCCUGUCCCAAAUCUCAAGGGUCAUUAGCGACUCUGCGGCAAGGCCAGCCUUUGUCCUCUGCUCUGACUGGCCCUGGUAUACCCAAAGGAUGCUCUAAGGUCAAGUGGGACUUUCAAGGUCACAAGCAAGUGAUGCAGAAAGCAGAGAUUCUACCCUGAUGCCAAGAAACAGCCCCGCCCACCAGAACGGUUCAUGUUCCCAGGGUCCCUUCCCCCAGAGCUCUUCUGGUUAAUAAGAAACACUCUAAACCAGGCACAGUAAAGGCUCUGAGAUGGUCUGCAGGGGAGGAACCUGUGCGACUGUGAUUGGA